UGGUAAGAGAGUACAGGAUGUAACAAUGGACAAUCCGCAGCGAAGACCCUACCGGCUCCGGCCCACGGGUACCGUUCACAGACUAAGUGAUUGUGGGCGGGGCAAAUCGUGCCCUGUCUAAGAUAUAGUCGGACUCUACCCGAAAGGAUAGAGGAUAGCAUGUCCGUAGGUGAACCUGCGGAAGGAUCAUUA
rnacentral:rRNA from 1 species